rnacentral:lncRNA from 1 species
GAAAGUAAUCCAAUAUGUAAAUUAGCUGCCAGAGGAAAAUGGAGCCAGCUGGCAAUGGCUAAUUUAGAAUCUAUUUAAGGCCAAAUGAUGCUUUAAAGGGGCUGUGGCUUAAGCAUUUCUGUUUCAAGACCUCGGAAUCUGAAUUACUUUUAUGUCAAAGUUUUGUCAAGUGUGAAUAUAGUUACUGCUUCUUUGGGGAAAAAAUAUAAUAUAAAUUUCUCAUUAGCAACUAAAACUGGUAAAAUCCACUAACUGCAUAGCUUAAAAAUGCUGGAAUUCACAGUGAGUCUUUUAGGGUGCAGGAGGGCUGUGCUGAGAGGAUGUGCAAGCCCCAGGUCGGAGCCAAGCUGAAGCAGCAGCUGGGUCAGGCGCAUCCGGGGGAGCUCCGAACCUCCCUUGGCCGUCAGCCGCUCUGCUCAUCCCCGCUACCCUGAGAGUUAUCGAUCCUCCAAGCAGCCGGAACAGCUCGAGGCUCCCGGAGCCCGCAGCCCCCACAGCCGGCAGCAGCGGGGCCAAGGCCGGGGCUGGCGCAGCGGGCUCCGGGACGGGGCUGCAGCCGCCCCCGGCACCCCUCGGGUACAGCUCCCGCCCCCGAGCCGGGGCUGCCACGGGCGGGCAGAGCCCCGAGAGCAGCCCGGUCACAGCCGGGGAACGGAGGGGAGGAGAGCGAAGGAGCGGAGAGAAGAGGAGAGCGAAGGAGCGGAGCGGAGGAAAGGAGAGCGGAGAGGAGGAGAGGAGAGCGAAGGAGCGGAGAGGAGAAGAGGAGAGCGAAGGAGCGGAGCGGAGGAAAGGAGAGCGGAGAGGAGGAAAGGAGAGGAAGGAGCGGAGCGGAGCGGGACGGGCAGCGCGGGCGAGCCGAGCCCGGCGGUGCUCAGGGCGGACGCUGCCGGAGCCGGGCGAGAGCGGCACGGAGGGGACACAGGUGCUCAUUCCACUGGAUGAGACACACCAUCGACUGCAUCACCCAAAGCACUUCUGAGAACACCAACUACUGGGUCUCCUCGUUCCUGUCACGAAUUCUGCUGAUUGCAUGACACU